UUGCCCUACGGGACGCAGCAGUGGGGAAUAUUGGGCAAUGGGCGCAAGCCUGACCCAGCAACGCCGCGUGAAGGAAGAAGGCUUUCGGGUUGUAAACUUCUUUUAAGAGGGACGAAACAAAUGACGGUACCUCUUGAAUAAGCUCCGGCUAACUACGUGCCAGCAGCCGCGGUAAUACGUAGGGAGCGAGCGUUAUCCGGAUUUACUGGGUGUAAAGGGCGUGUAGGCGGGAUGGCAAGUCAGGCGUGAAAACUAUGGGCUCAACCCAUAGCCUGCGUUUGAAACUGUCGUUCUUGAGUGAUGGG
rnacentral:rRNA from 1 species